GCCAAAGAUAAUUUGUAUAAACCAUCACAUAAAAUGCCAUUUCCAAUCAAACGAGAAUCAUUAAAUAACUUAACCAUUCCAUUACCAAAAUUAAAUGUAAAACCACAAGCAUCAAGUUUUGGUAUAGAAAUUAAAUUUCGUCUCAUCUGCGGUACAUAAACUGUAUUUUCCAAAACAAGAUAAAAACCAGACUCUAAAGUUAACUUCACUACUCCUAUGAAUUCAAUCUUCACUUGAAAUCCAUUUGCAACGCUCAAGCUUACUUCAUUCUCACUUGGCCUCCGUUUGCUUAUGAACCCCUACAAGGAAUUCGCAAUAUGAAUACUAGCUCCCGAGUCUAACCACCAAGAAUUCAAAGGUACAUCUACUAAAGAAGACUCAAAACAAACUAAGGCCAAGGGAAUACCUGAAGAACUCUUCUUCUUUUCCAACCAAGUCUUGAACUUAAAACAGUCUUUCUGCCAGUGACCCUUCUUUUUACAGAAUUUGCAUUGAUCAUUUUUCUUUAUAAUUGUUUUGGGACCACUAAAAUUUUUAUUCUGCUGACUUCGAUGGGACUUAUUACCCUUACGAAACUUAGGUUCAUGAUUAUGAGAAUGCCCUUUAUUCUGUGAUGGCUGAAAAGCUAAUUGUACAGUUUCACGGCGCAUCCUAUACUCUUCUUGGGCACACACUGCUAUGAGGUCAUUCAAAUUUCAUUUAUCCCGUUGAGCAUUGUAAACAACUUUAAGCUGAUUAAACUUGUUAGGAAGGCUAUUCAAAACAUGAUAGACUAGGAAAGGCUCCGCAAUGGGAAUGUCAAGAGCCUUUAGCUUAGAUGAUAUAUUUAUCAUUUUCAUGACAUGCUCUCUAACACCAUUUG
rnacentral:lncRNA from 1 species